AGAUGUACACUGAAUAUGAAAGCUAGCCUUGAGAAGGAGGUAGAUGCUACUGGUUAGAUGGCAUUUUGUUAAGCUGCUUGUCAAGAACCUCACCACAGCAGAAGACAUGGAUGCAGGGAGUUCACCAGUCCAGAGACUGAAGCUCUUCUGAGGUUUGGCCUUUAGGAAUCCUUCCACGUCACUGACUUCACCGGGUGCUCCUUUUGUCUCUACAAAAGCAAAAGAGUGAAAGGCAUUCUAUUGUUUGUUGCCAUAAGCAUUUCUCCAGAUAGGAAUAAGAGAGUGGGAAGUGAAUGCCAGCUGGGAUUCCUAUCCUGGUCCUAGAUGCUCUUCCUUCCUGCUAUGGUGCUGUGGCUGGACUGUGGAAGGUUGAGUUUGAGCUAUAACACUGUGAUGGAUGUCUUCUGUGUUGGAAAGCUCAAUCAUCUCCCGGACUGGUCACUAUAAGCCGUGUGUAGUGCAAGAGUUAAACUCAGUAUGUGUGACCAAUGUUUGAGAGCUGGUGGAAGGCUGCUGGUGUGGUGGCUUGAGAUGAGCAAGUGGUGUUCUGUGGUGGCUUGAGAUGAGCAAGCAGGGGAUGUGUUUUGGUUGAUACAACUGAUGUAGGGGAGGAUUUUGUUCAGAAGUGAAACUAUCAUGAAAUACUUGCCUUCUUGAGUUUUCUCAUGGAUCUUAACCAGGGCAGUCUGCGUGUUUCUGACAAACUUCCACUGUGGUUUCCUCCAUCUCCUUUGUAAUAGUUAUUAUUUCAAAAAUAGGAAAUAAAUUGU
ensembl:lncRNA